rnacentral:rRNA from 1 species
UCCACCUCUUAACCCGUGAUUAUGAACCCCUGUUGCUUUGGCGAGCGCCGGGGUGCCUCCCACCUCGGCCCUGACCCUAGGUCGGUGCGUUCUCGCCAGAGCCCCCAGCCAUUCUGUUUAUUCAGUGACGUCCGAGUAUGAUCAAAUUUAAAUCAAAACUUUCAACAACGGAUCUCUUGGUUCUGGCAUCGAUGAAGAACGCAGCGAAAUGCGAUAAGUAAUGUGAAUUGCAGAAUUCAGUGAAUCAUCGAAUCUUUGAACGCACAUUGCGCCCCUUGGUAUUCCGAGGGGCAUGCCUGUUCGAGCGUCAUUGCAACCCUCAAGCUUCGCUUGGUAUUGAGCUUUUUACGCCGGAGACGGCGUGCUCGAAAAUUAGUGGCGGUCCAGGGAGACUUCAAGCGCAGUAAAACUUUCCGCUUUCGAGGCUCUCGCCUGUGGCCAGCCGUAAAACCCCCCAACUUUUCAAUGAUUGACCUCGGAUCAGGUAGGGAUACCCGCUGAACUUAAGCAUAUCA